rnacentral:tRNA from 1 species
GCCGGAGUGGUGGAAUGGCAGACACGCAUGGUUUAGGACCAUGUUCCUUAUGGUGUGUGGGUUCGAGUCCCACCUCCGGCAC